GCAAGUCGAACGGCAGCGCGGGGAGCUUGCUCCCUGGCGGCGAGUGGCGGACGGGUGAGUAAUGCGUAGGAAUUUGCCUAGUAGUGGGGGACAACCCGAGGAAACUCGGGCUAAUACCGCAUACGCCCUACGGGGGAAAGCGGGGGAUCUUCGGACCUCGCGCUAUUAGAUGAGCCUACGUCGGAUUAGCUUGUUGGUAGGGUAAUGGCCUACCAAGGCGACGAUCCGUAGCUGGUCUGAGAGGACGAUC
rnacentral:rRNA from 1 species